UCUUCUGGACCUGUUCCCCAGCGGGCCCCUUGGCACCCGACCCGAUACCUGGACCAUCUGUGUGCCAUCGUCCACCAGUGAUACCAUCUGCCACUGAUGAACCCACGUACACAGCUCAUGUGAAGAUGAAAGAAUCUGAGCUGGAUUGGACUGACAUGAGGGGUUUGCAGUGAAGAGCUGAACGCUGCUGGAGUAAUUACUGGAUUUCACAGGUUUUCAAGAACAAACCAUCUCGUCAUCCUCAAACACAAAUCCACAGUGUUUCUUCAACUCGCCAGACAAUUGAAAACUGAAACUGUCUACGAGCAAAGAUGCUUGAGCGGAUGAGGGAGAUUGAUGGGUUACAUCACUGGAGAGGAGGAGAGAGGAGUACACUGGAUAGGUGAGAGAAGCUUCACAGUUAAACAGCUGAGAGCGCAAGUGCCACGUUUUGCUGAAUUUAAUUGCUUUGACAAACUUUUUCCCUUCACUUGUUGCGAAGAGGAUUUUCUUC